rnacentral:sRNA from 1 species
CUGUUUAUGAACAGAGAAAUAAGAUAGGAGGUGACAUGGAUAGGCAAUUAGUAGCUCCUCCUUAGGAUUAGUCCAUAAGGUGACACAAAGUAUUCUUAUUGUGUUCUUUUAUUUUUGCAGGCUUUGUGUCAUGACCUUAAUUUCUUUUUCUGUUCCAACAUCUGCUAGCUUUUAAAUGGAAUAAUUUCUUUGGUAUUUGCAGUGUUUGGGAGAUGCUUUGAACAUGCUCAGCUAUUGUCCCCAAGCAACUGACUGGGUCAAAUUUGAGAUUGGACUUGCUGUGGAUUUAAUAAUCAACGCUUUUUGGCUUUAAAAUAUGACUUGCCCUUUAUUUCACUGUUCUCGUUGUCUUUCCUGAACAGGCUGCUGAUACUUUGGCUGUGAGGCAAAAAAGGAGAAUUUAUGAUAUCACCAAUGUCUUAGAGGGAAUUGACUUGAUUGAAAAAAAGUCAAAAAACAGUAUCCAGUGGAAAGGUGUAGGUGCUGGCUGUAAUACUAAAGAAGUCAUAGAUAGAUUAAGAUAUCUUAAAGCUGAAAUUGAAGAUCUAGAACUGAAGGAAAGAGAACUUGAUCAGCAGAAGUUGUGGCUACAGCAAAGCAUCAAAAAUGUGAUGGACGAUUCCAUUAAUAAUAGAUAUCCU